rnacentral:rRNA from 1 species
CCUACGGGGCGCAGCAGUGGGGAAUAUUGGACAAUGGGCGAAAGCCUGAUCCAGCCAUGCCGCGUGUGUGAAGAAGGCCUUCGGGUUGUAAAGCACUUUCAGUGGGGAAGAAAGCCUUGGGGCUAAUACCCUCGAGGAAGGACAUUACCCACAGAAGAAGCACCGGCUAACUCCGUGCCAGCAGCCGCGGUAAUACGGAGGGUGCGAGCGUUAAUCGGAAUUACUGGGCGUAAAGCGCGCGUAGGCGGUCUGAUAAGCCGGUUGUGAAAGCCCCGGGCUCAACCUGGGAACGGCAUCCGGAACUGUCAGGCUAGAGUGCAGUAGAGGAAGGUAGAAUUCCCGGUGUAGCGGUGAAAUGCGUAGAGAUCGGUAGGAAUACCAGUGGCGAAGGCGGCCUUCUGGACUGACACUGACGCUGAGGUGCGAAAGCGUGGGUAGCAAACAGGAUUAGAUACCCCAGUAGUC